GCGAUUUACUUCGGUAAAGAGCGGCGGACGGGUGAGUAACGCGUGGGUAACCUGCCCUGUACACACGGAUAACAUACCGAAAGGUAUGCUAAUACGAGAUAAUAUACUUUUAUCGCAUGGUAGAAGUAUCAAAGCUCCGGCGGUACAGGAUGGACCCGCGUCUGAUUAGCUAGUUGGUAAGGUAACGGCUUACCAAGGCGACGAUCAGUAGCCGACCUGAGAGGGUGAUCGGCCACAUUGGAACUGAGACACGGUCCAAACUCCUAUGGGAGGCAGCAGUGGGGAAUAUUGCACAAUGGGCGAAAGCCUGAUGCAGCAACGCCGCGUGAGCGAUGAAGGCCUUCGGGUCGUAAAGCUCUGUCCUCAAGGAAGAUAAUGACGGUACUUGAGGAGGAAGCCCCGGCUAACUACGUGCCAGCAGCCGCGGUAAUACGUAGGGGGCUAGCGUUAUCCGGAAUUACUGGGCGUAAAGGGUGCGUAGGUGGUUUCUUAAGUCAGAGGUGAAAGGCUACGGCUCAACCGUAGUAAGCCUUUGAAACUGGGAAACUUGAGUGCAGGAGAGGAGAGUGGAAUUCCUAGUGUAGCGGUGAAAUGCGUAGAUAUUAGGAGGAACACCAGUUGCGAAGGCGGCUCUCUGGACUGUAACUGACACUGAGGCACGAAAGCGUGGGGAGCAAACAGGAUUAGAUAUCCUGGUAGUCCACGCCGUAACGAUGAGACUAGCUGUCGGAGGUUACCCCCUUCGGUGGCGCAGCUAACGCAUUAAGUACU
rnacentral:rRNA from 1 species